rnacentral:rRNA from 1 species
GACGAACGCUGGCGGCGUGCUUAACACAUGCAAGUCGAACGGAAAGGCCCUGCUUUUGUGGGGUGCUCGAGUGGCGAACGGGUGAGUAACACGUGAGUAACCUGCCCUUGACUUUGGGAUAACUUCAGGAAACUGGGGCUAAUACCGGAUAGGCGCUCCUGCUGCAAGGUGGGGGUUGGAAAGUUUCGGCGGUUGGGGAUGGACUCGCGGCUUAUCAGCUUGUUGGUGGGGUAGUGGCUUACCAAGGCUUUGACGGGUAGCCGGCCUGAGAGGGUGACCGGCCACAUUGGGACUGAGAUACGGCCCAGACUCCUACGGGAGGCAGCAGUGGGGAAUAUUGCACAAUGGGCGGAAGCCUGAUGCAGCAACGCCGCGUGCGGGAUGACGGCCUUCGGGUUGUAAACCGCGUUCGCCUGUGACGAAGCGUGAGUGACGGUAAUGGGUAAAGAAGCACCGGCUAACUACGUG